rnacentral:rRNA from 1 species
UGGGGAAUAUUGGACAAUGGGGGCAACCCUGAUCCAGCGAUGCCGCGUGGGUGAAGAAGGCCUUCGGGUUGUAAAGCCCUUUAGGUUGGGACAAAGGUUAGCUGAGGAUAAUUCAGUUAGCUUGAUGGUACCGACAGAAUAAGCACCGGCAAACUCUGUGCCAGCAGCCGCGGUAAUACAGAGGGUGCGAGCGUUAAUCGGAUUUACUGGGCGUAAAGGGCGCGUAGGCGGUAUGAUGUGAGUGAUGUGAAAGCCCCGGGCUUAACCUGGGAAGCGCAUCGCAGACUAUCGUACUGGAGUAGAUGAGAGGGUGGCGGAAUUUCCGGUGUAGCGGUGAAAUGCGUAGAGAUCGGAAGGAACGUCGAUGGCGAAGGCAGCCACCUGGCAUCAUACUGACGCUGAGGCGCGAAAGCGUGGGGAUCGAACAGG